UUGACCUCGAUCAGGCAGGGAUACCCGCUGAACUUAAGCAUAUCAAUA
rnacentral:rRNA from 1 species